GGUAAUCAGCUGGGGUUUCCUUAGGGAGGUUGGAAGGUUUGUUCUUUCUCUCUUUGCAGUAAAUCUUGCAGAUUCUAACUCAAAUAGCUCAAAGGACACCUUCUCCGGGAAACCUUCCCUGACUUCCGACGCUGUUUCCUGUUUAACUUCAGAAACUGGGGGUGUCUAAUGUCUGCAACAUAACAGGACUAUUGUAGGAAAUUCUGAGACUCUAUAAGCACUUUUAAAUGUGAAAAUUAAGAAGGCAUCCCAGAAAUGAAUGGGUCCAGUGCUCUGAUUUAAGAGUGUGUGACCUGUCGUCAUUCAUCCAGCAGACCCAAGCAGGCUUAGAGAAAGUAAGACGGACCCAUGAUGUACAUUAGAACACAGCAACUAUUUGAGUGAAAUAAGUAUUUUUAUUUAUUUCAAGAGGAAAGCAAAGUCGAAGGGUGUUCAGGGCUACAGUUUUGCUUGACCAGAUGUUGCCAAGUUUCAAAGUCAAAUCGGUUCAUCUCCUGGCUAUCAGCUAAAGGGUGUUGUAUUUGUAAGCAUUGAGAACUUCUAUCUACUGCUAUUGUAUUUUGCAUAUUUGUAUUUUCUGAGUUCUAUUUGAGAGAGACGGAAUUACGCAUUUCCAUAUGGAUCAUCCUCUUCCCUAUGUAUGUUGCUUUAUUGCCUUUUGGAAGAAAAAAAGUGAGAGUUGCAGUCUGUAUUUAGGCCAUUUCUAUGUUCUUUAUUGGGUUACGUUUGAAUGCCCAAUUUGAUCUCAAUGGCACGUCCUUUGUAACAUAAAAUAAAACAUGGUGCUCAGGAAAAGUAACGACACACACAUCCAGGCCCUUUCAUAGCAGUUGGUAAAGCUUAAGCCUUGCCUCUCUGUGUGGUAGUUUCCCUUCCCUUUCUUUUCGUUCCCUGUGACAAGCAGCCAUUGUCCCCUUGGUGAGAUCUGCAAUAUUACUUUGACCCCAGCCCAUCAAUCUGCCUCAAUUGGAUAAUGAUCUGUAAUCACGUUCUUUCAGGGGAGUCUAUAAAUUUGCCAAGGCCCCAUUCUCUUCUGAAGGACUCCUUAUGUUCACUCCCAUUUGUGCAAAUGUGCUCUCUUUUACAGGGCUAAAUAGCCAUGCACAUGGUCCAUUCUGUGAGGAGGCACCGGGCGGUUCUCUGUUGAUUUUCCACGCUCUAGUCUCUUAAAGGAGACUAAGGCUGACAUGCAGGGACACAGUGGGGGGGUGGCCCGAGCCAGGCCACAUCACAGGCAGCCGCUUUUCUCAUUAAGACUGACCCAUCAUUAGGUCACUUUGUGCCAUCCUUGUAAUCAAUGAGCUUAAUGUUUAGUGCAAAAAAAAAAAAA
rnacentral:lncRNA from 1 species